CUGCUUUUUUUUAACUACUGACUGGUUUUAUUUUGCUCCUCCGCAGAGGCUCACAGGAAUCUACUUUUACUCACCUAUUAUCACUUGCUUUACUGCUGGUAACAGGAAUUUGCCAAUGGAAAUAUCUUAAGAGAGAGACUACAGAGAUUUGCUGAAUAAAAACGAAGAAAAAGCAGUGAAUGCUACAGCUUGCCAGAGCAAGGGAGAAAAGUAAAUUCGAUAUGUUAAUAUCAAAGUAUUUUCUUUUCACAAUCCAUCCUCAUAUAGGCACAAAGUCAAUUCUGUCUUAUGAACCUCCUUUUCUGUGCUGUUCCAGGAGAUACAGUGAGAAGUAAGGCUCACUGCAAGGGCUGCGAUAGCUACAGCCUCACAGGUCACCUCAGCACUAUCUCCUUGGCCAGACAACUUUAAUGAGGCUCCCUGGUACUUCAACUGCCUGGAAGGAGGUUGUGGCAAGGUGGGGGACAGACUCUUCUUCCAGGUAACAAUGACAGAAUGAAAGGGAACAGGCUUAAAUAGUACAAGGAGAGGUUCUUAGGAAAAAUUUCUUCUCAGAAAGAGUGGUGAGACACACAUGGGCUGCCCAGGGCAUGGUGGGGUUACUGUCCUUGGAGGUGUUCAGGAAACAUGGAGAUAUGGCACUGAGGGACAUGGUUAGUGGGCAUGGUGGUGGUGGGUUGAUGGUUGAACUAGAAAAUCUUGGAGAUCUUUUCCAACUUUAAUGAUUAUAUACAUUUCAAAGUUGUUUUUUAACUUUGGUUCAUCCCCACUUACAGUAUGGACAGUGCUUGUUUUGUGAAGCUUUUCAUGUUACAGAUCACCCCAUUGCACUUAAAGACUUUAUGAAGGGGAAGAACAUUUUAGGAGAUACAGAAAGCAGAAGUUAACAUCUGUAGAACUGGAGCUUGACCAUUGGAACUAAAUUAAAUUAAAUCUGCCUCGAACUGCUGUUAGAAACUUGUAUGGUAUUUCCCAUUAAAAUCGGUCUGCUCCUCUCAGUACCAUUGCUUCUCAACUCCAUUCACUGCUGUACUCUGAGAUGACAACAGCAUCUUUCAGAAUGUGGGUAACUACACCAUGCUUCCCAACAGGAUGCAG
rnacentral:lncRNA from 1 species